rnacentral:rRNA from 1 species
AGUGAACGCUGGCGGUAGGCCUAACACAUGCAAGUCGAACGGCAGCACAGUAAGAGCUUGCUCUUACGGGUGGCGAGUGGCGGACGGGGGAGGAAUACAUCGGAAUCUACUUUUUCGUGGGGGAUAACGUAGGGAAACUUACGCUAAUACCGCAUACGACCUACGGGUGAAAGCAGGGGAUCUUCGGACCUUGCGCGAUUGAAUGAGCCGAUGUCGGAUUAGCUAGUUGGCGGGGUAAAGGCCCACCAAGGCGACGAUCCGUAGCUGGUCUGAGAGGAUGAUCAGCCACACUGGAACUGAGACACGGUCCAGACUCCUACGGGAGGCAGCAGUGGGGAAUAUUGGACAAUGGGCGCAAGCCUGAUCCAGCCAUACCGGGUGGGUGAAGAAGGCCUUCGGGUUGUAAAGCCCUUUUGUUGGGAAAGAAAAGCAGCAGGUUAAUACCCCGCUGUUCUGACGGUACCCAAAGAAUAAGCACCGGCUAACUUCGUG